rnacentral:rRNA from 1 species
AGAGUUUGAUCCUGGCUCAGAUUGAACGCUGGCGGCAUGCCUAACACAUGCAAGUCGAACGCGAAAGUCACUUCGGUGGCGAGUAGAGUGGCGGACGGGUGAGUAACGCAUGGGAAUCUACCUUGCAGUGGGGGACAACCCGAGGAAACUCGGGCUAAUACCGCAUACGACCUACGGGUGAAAGGGGGCUUCGGCUCUCGCUGUUGGACGAGCCCAUGUCCGAUUAGCUGGUUGGUGAGGUAAAGGCUCACCAAGGCGACGAUCGGUAGCUGGUCUAAGCGGAUGAUCAGCCACACUGGGACUGAGACACGGCCCAGACUCCUACGGGAGGCAGCAGUGGGGAAUAUUGGACAAUGGGGGAAACCCUGAUCCAGCAAUGCCGCGUGUGUGAAGAAGGCCUGCGGGUUGUAAAGCACUUUCAGUGGGGAAGAAAAGCCGAGGGUUAAUACCCCUUGGUCUUGACGUUACCCACAGAAGAAGCACCGGCUAACUCCGUGCCAGCAGCCGCGGUAAUACGGAGGGUGCGAGCGUUAAUCGGAAUCACUGGGCGUAAAGCGCACGUAGGUGGUUGAGUAAGUCAGAUGUGAAAGCCCCGGGCUCAACCUGGGAACUGCAUUUGAAACUGCUUGGCUAGAGUCCGAUAGAGGGGGGUGGAAUUCCAGGUGUAGCGGUGAAAUGCGUAGAUAUCUGGAGGAACAUCAGUGGCGAAGGCGGCCCCCUGGAUCGAGACUGACGCUGAGGUGCGAAAGCGUGGGUAGCAAACAGGAUUAGAUACCCUGGUAGUCCACGCUGUAAACGAUGUCAACUAGCCGUUGGGUCCUUAAGGGUUUAGUGGCGCAGCUAACGCGAUAAGUUGACCGCCUGGGGAGUACGGCCGCAAGGUUAAAACUCAAAGGAAUUGACGGGGGCCCACACAAGCGGUGGAGCAUGUGGUUUAAUUCGAUGCAACGCGAAGAACCUUACCAGCCUUGACAUCCUCGGAAUCCCAUGGAGACGUGGGAGUGCCUUCGGGAGCCGAGUGACAGGUGCUGCAUGGCUGUCGUCAGCUCGUGUCGUGAGAUGUUGGGUUAAGUCCCGUAACGAGCGCAACCCUUGUCCUUAGUUGCCAGCACGUAAAGGUGGGAACUCUAAGGAGACUGCCGGUGAUAAACCGGAGGAAGGUGGGGAUGACGUCAAGUCAUCAUGGCCCUUAUGGGCUGGGCUACACACGUGCUACAAUGGCCGGUACAGAGAGUUGCGAAGCGGCGACGUGGAGCCAAUCUCGCAAAACCGGUCGUAGUCCGGAUCGCAGUCUGCAACUCGACUGCGUGAAGUCGGAAUCGCUAGUAAUCGCGAAUCAGAAUGUCGCGGUGAAUACGUUCCCGGGCCUUGUACACACCGCCCGUCACACCAUGGGAGUUGGUUGCACCAGAAGUAGGUAGCUUAACCUUCGGGAGAGCGCUUACCACGGUGUGGUCAAUGACUGGGGUGAAGUCGGAACAAGGUA